rnacentral:rRNA from 1 species
UACAUAGGGACCGAGCGUUGUCCGGAAUCAUUGGGCGUAAAGAGCGUGUAGGCGGCCACUUAAGUCCUGCGUGAAAUCUUGCGGCUCAACCGCAAGCGGUCGUGGGAAACUGGGUGGCUAGAGUGCGGGAGAGGAGAGUGGAAUUCCUGGUGUAGCGGUGGAAUGCGCAGAUAUCAGGAGGAACACCGGUGGCGAAGGCAAUCCCCUGGGCCUGUACUGACGCUCAUGCACGAAAGCGUGGGGAGCAAACAGG